rnacentral:rRNA from 1 species
AGGACGACGCUGGCGGCGUGCUUAACACAUGCAAGUCGAACGAGGAUUACAUUGGAAGGGCUUCGGCCUGGAAGAUGUAAUUCGAGUGGCGGACGGGUGAGUAACGCGUGAACAAUCUGUCCCGGACAGGGGAAUAACACUUGGAAACAGGUGCUAAUACCGCAUAAGACCACGCCCUCGCAUGGGGGGAGGGGUAAAAGGAGCAAUCCGGUUCGGGGUGAGUUCGCGUCCGAUUAGAUAGUUGGUGAGGUAACGGCCCACCAAGUCGACGAUCGGUAGCCGACCUGAGAGGGUGAUCGGCCACAUUGGAACUGAGAGACGGUCCAAACUCCUACGGGAGGCAGCAGUGGGGAAUAUUGGGCAAUGGGCGAAAGCCCUGACCCAGCAACGCCGCGUGAGUGAAGAAGGCUUUCGGGUUGUAAAGCUCUGUUAUAGGGGACGAAGGAAGUGACGGUACCCUAUAAGGAAGCCCCGGCUAACUACGUGCCAGCAGCUGC